rnacentral:misc_RNA from 1 species
GUUCCCGUUCCCCCUGGACCGAUUCCCAUGCAUCCGUCAUUGCAGCCCUUCACCUUCUUUGGAAAUCAGAAUCCUGGUGCCAUUCCCAACCCCUGUUCCACAUUUGUCCCAUAUACUGCUGCUGCCAAUCAUCCGAUCGAUCAGCCCUCUGCCCAUUAUGCUUCCAAUUCACAUGUAUCUAGCAAACAAGAUUCCAGAAGUAAAUCAUCAGAUCAG